rnacentral:snRNA from 13 species
AUACAUACCUGGCAGGGGAGACACCGUGAUCACGAAGGUGGUUUUCCCAGGGCGAGGCUUAUCCAUUGCACUCCAGAUGUGCUGACCCCUGUGAUUUCCCCAAAUGUGGGAAACUCUACUGCAUAAUUUGUGGUAGUGGGGGACUGCGUUCUUGCUUUCCUCUU